rnacentral:rRNA from 1 species
GGCGGCAGGCCUAACACAUGCAAGUCGAGCGGUAGAGAGAAGCUUGCUUCUCUUGAGAGCGGCGGACGGGUGAGUAAUGCCUAGGAAUCUGCCUGGUAGUGGGGGAUAACGUUCGGAAACGGACGCUAAUACCGCAUACGUCCUACGGGAGAAAGCAGGGGACCUUCGGGCCUUGCGCUAUCAGAUGAGCCUAGGUCGGAUUAGCUAGUUGGUGAGGUAAUGGCUCACCAAGGCGACGAUCCGUAACUGGUCUGAGAGGAUGAUCAGUCGCACUGGAACUGAGACACGGUCCAGACUCCUACGGGAGGCAGCAGUGGGGAAUAUUGGACAAUGGGCGAAAGCCUGAUCCAGCCAUGCCGCGUGUGUGAAGAAGGUCUUCGGAUUGUAAAGCACUUUAAGUUGGGAGGAAGGGUUGUAGAUUAAUACUCUGCAAUUUUGACGUUACCGACAGAAUAAGCACCGGCUAACUCUGUGCCAGCAGCCGCGGUAAUACAGAGGGUGCAAGCGUUAAUCGGAAUUACUGGGCGUAAAGCGCGCGUAGGUGGUUUGUUAAGUUGGAUGUGAAAUCCCCGGGCUCAACCUGGGAACUGCAUUCAAAACUGACUGACUAGAGUAUGGUAGAGGGUGGUGGAAUUUCCUGUGUAGCGGUGAAAUGCGUAGAUAUAGGAAGGAACACCAGUGGCGAAGGCGACCACCUGGACUAAUACUGACACUGAGGUGCGAAAGCGUG